rnacentral:misc_RNA from 1 species
GUGAUUCCCUUGUGGACAGUGGCAACAACAACUACUUGGUCACCAGCGCUCGCGCUGACGCCCCUCCAUACGGGAUCGAUUCUCCUUCCCAUCGGGCCUCCGGGCGGUUCUCCAACGGCCUCAACAUCCCUGACAUUAUAAGUGAAUACCUAGGAGCUCCACCCACAAUGCCUUACCUGAGCCCCGAGCUCCAGGGAGAGAAUCUACUUGUUGGCGCCAACUUCGCCUCUGCUGGGAUUGGAAUUCUCAAUGACACCGGAAUUCAAUUCUUUAACAUUAUAAGGAUCACCAAGCAAUUGCAGUACUUCGA